CGCCUCUGUGCUUGAGGAAGCAUCGGCUCGUAGCAGUGGAGGCAACCGACCUUCUUCUUCAGAUUUAGUCCAUCUUCCUCGCCGUCACGUUUUGCUCUCUGUCCAAGACUCACCGGAGAUGAAGAUUCGUACCACUCUAGCUUCUCACCUCUCUAACUCGACGGUGGUGGGAUUUGAGAGAAGCGGAUCUGGAAGGUAGAUGCGACGGCUGGAAGUAGAAGCAUCGAUGGUGGCUAAAGCGUCGAAGGUGAAGCAUCGAUGGUGGCUGAAGCGUUGAGAGUACGGUGGAGAAAGACGACUGGAGGAGGACGACGGCGGCGGCUUAGAUUUAGGGUUUUCUUGUAUUUUGUUUGUAUUUAUGUUUAUAUAUUUACAUAUUUGUUUUAAACAAAAAAAAAAACAUAUUUGUUUUUAUUAAUUAUAUCAAAUUGUUUUUUUGUUUAACCGUUGGAAAUGACACAUUUUCCUGUA